UUGAAAAACUAUGUUAGUUUUUUAUAUCGCAUUGUUUUAUCUACCCUGUUGCUUCUACUGGACUGUUUUACUUGGAGGUAAGAUUUACCUCUUGGUAAAACCUCAGGCUUGUGUGAACCACACUUGCCAGAGAGCUGCCAGUAGCAAGACCACUUGCUAAAACAUGUUGUGAAAUAUAUAGUCUGAAUUUUGUGUCUUGAAAAUGAAAUA
rnacentral:misc_RNA from 1 species